rnacentral:rRNA from 1 species
UUCGGAGGAUGCAAGCGUUAUCCGGAAUGAUUGGGCGUAAAGCGUCAGCAGGAGGUUGUGUGUGUCUAUUGUCAAAGCAUCAUGCUUAACAUGAUAAAGGCAGUAGAAACUACACGACUAGAGUGCGUUCGGGGCAGAGGGAAUUCCUGGUGUAGCGGUGAAAUGCGUAGAGAUCAGGAAGAACACCGGUGGCGAAAGCGCUCUGCUAGGCCGCAGCUGACACUGAGGGACGAAAGCUAGGGGAGCGAAUGGG